rnacentral:ncRNA from 1 species
CACACACAUCCGGGGAGUCCCAGGCAGGGGGCUGAGAUUGCGCUGACGCCGCGCUGACCCGACGACCUGAUCCGGUUCAUACCGGCGGAGGGAGCAUCAUGGAACGGCAC